rnacentral:rRNA from 1 species
UACGUAGGGUGCGAGCGUUAAUCGGAAUUACUGGGCGUAAAGCGUGCGCAGGCGGUUCGCAAAGUCUGAUGUGAAAGCCCCGGGCUCAACCUGGGAACUGCAUUGGAAACUAACGGGCUCGAGUGUGGCAGAGGGGGGUGGAAUUCCACGUGUAGCAGUGAAAUGCGUAGAGAUGUGGAGGAACACCGAUGGCGAAGGCAGCCCCCUGGGCUAACACUGACGCUCGGGCACGAAAGCGUGGAGCAAACAGG